GUACAUACCUGGCAGGGGAGACACCAUGAUUAGGAAGGUGGUCCACCCACGGCGAGGUUUAGCCAGAGCACUACAGCUGUCUAACCCGUGAGAAUUCACCAAAUGUGGAAAUCUCAACUGUGUAAUUACUGGUAGCGGGGGAGUGCGUUUGCACUCUCCCCUG